AUGGAUUUGAAAUCAUACACUGUUCAGCAGAAAAAGCACUGUCACUGCAGCAGCUUGGAUCACUUGUGCAUUCCGUCCUGGCCUGGGAACUUCUGCCUGCUAUGGGUGCAGCCAAAAAAGAAAGAGAAAAGGAAGAGUUUUCUUUGCAGAAUCACUGUGGUGGCUAGGACCCUGUACACAUAUCCUGAAAACUGCAGGUCCUUCAAAGCCCUCAUUGCCGCUCAGUACAGUGGGGCUCAGGUCCAUGUACUCUCCGAACCAUCCCACUUACAUUUUGGCCAAACCAACCACACCCCCGAAUUGCUCCGUAAAUUUCCUGCCGGUAAGGUUCCAGCAUUUGAGGGUGAUGAUGGAUUCUGUGUGUUCGAGAGCAAUCCCAUUGCCUGCUGUGUGAGCAACAAGGAGCUGUGGGAAAGUACUCCCAAGGCAGCAGCCCAGGUUGUGCAGUGGGUGAGCUUUGCCACUAGCAACAUCGUGCCCCCGGGCCAGUACCUGGGUGUUCCCACCUUGGGCAUCAUGCACUACAACAAGCAGGCCACAGAGAAUGCAAAGGAUGAGGUGAGGUGAGUUCUGGGGCUGCUGGAUGCUCACUUGACGACAGGGACUUUUCUGGUGGGCGAAUGUGUGACACUGGCCAACAUCACAGUUGUCUGCACCCUAUCGUGGCUCUACAAACAGGUCCUGGAGUUUUCUUUCCACCAGGCCUUCUGCAAUACCAACCGCUGGUUCCUCACCUGCGUUAACCAGCCCUAGUUCCGGGCUGUCUUGGAGGAGGUGAAGCUCUGUGAGAAGAUGGCCCAAUUUGAUGCUAAAAAGUUUGCAGAGAAUCAGCCUAAAAAGGACACCCCAUGGAAAGAGAAAGGUUUGGGAGGAGAAAAGCAGAAACCCCAGGCUGAGCAGAAAGAGGAGAAAAAGGCAAUUGCUCCCACUCCUGAGGAGGAGAUGGACGAGUGUGAGCAGCAGCUGGCUUCUGAGCCCAAGGCCAAGGAUCCCUUUGCCCACCUGUGCAAGAGCACCUUUGUGUUGGACAAAUUUAAGCGCAAGUACUGCAAUGAGGACAUACUCUCUGUGACACUGCUGUACUCCUGGGAGCACUUUGAUAAGGAUGGCUGGUCCUUGUGAUACUCCAGGUACUGCUUCUCUGAAGAGCUCAACCAGACCUUCAUGAGCUGCAACCUUAUCACUAGAAUGUUCCAGCAAUUGGACAAGCUGAGGAAGAAUGUUUUUGCCACUGUCAUUCUCUUUGGAACCAACAACAGCAGCUCCAUUUCUGGAGUCUGGGUCUUCCAAGGCCAGGAGCUUGCCUUUCCGCUGAGUCCAGAUUGGCAGGUGGACUAUGAGUCAUACACAUGGUGGAAACUGGAUCCUGGCAGCGAGAAGACCCAGACGCUGGUUCAAGAAUACUUUUCCUGGGAGGGGGCCUGCCAGCAUGUGCAUGAAGCCUUCAAUCAGGGUAAGAUCUUCACGAGAACAUCUCUUGCCAUCACCUAGCUGCCUGCACCUGCC